rnacentral:tRNA from 1 species
UCCGUGGUAGCUCAGUGGUAGAGCAAUCGGCUGUUAACCGAUCGGUCGUAGGUUCGAAUCCUACCCACGGAGCCA